rnacentral:lncRNA from 1 species
CGUGAUCCACCCACCUCAGCCUCCCAAAGUGCUAGGAUUACAGGUGUGAGCCACCAUGCCCGGCCAGGAAUAUUUUUUAUACACAGUUGAAUCCACAGAAAUGGAGGGCCAACUGUAUUUGAUAUCAUUUUAAUCAAGUGCUGCGUAUAUCUUUGGCAAACAGGAGAUGCUCAGAUUAUCUCGUAAUUGGACAGAGGAGCCCCUCCAUCCAGUGGGCUUUGAUGCCUCCUUGCUCUGGGGCCACAGCUGCCUCUGACUUUUCCUGCCCAGAACCUGGAACUACCCAUUUCUCCAGAGCCCUGGUUCUCGUUAGUGGGGAGUGGGAAUUGGAGGGAGUGGGAAUUGGAGGCCACAGACUGAGCACUGACUGCUUAUGAUGGCUGGGCUGCUCUACCUCCCAGCCUUUCCAUGGACAAAACCAGAAAAUUGUUCUAAAAUUUAUUUUCUCAGCUAGGCGCGGUGGCUCAUGCCUGUAAUCCCAGCACUUUGGGAGGCCGAGGUGGAUGGAUCACCUGAGGCCCUCAAUAUGCAUUCCCACGGUCCUGGGAUUUCUAUGUAAACUGGAAAACUCACGUUCUCUUUGACACCGUGAGGCUGGGAGUUCCACAUGUGCUAUAAUCCAGCCACUGGAAGGGCGAGAUUCUGGGUUUGAUUUUCAGUAGUCUCAGACCCGCAGCUAAAGGAGGUAAGAGUCUCUCUUGGGACAGUCAUAACUUUCAGAUUAUUCAUGUGACACUUCAGCUGGGAAUCUGAAUCCUGAGCUCACUCCCAUGAUACUUUUUCUGAGAUGGAGUCUCACUCUGUAGCCCAG